rnacentral:rRNA from 1 species
NGAUGCGAUCAUACCAGCACUAAAGCACCGGAUCCCAUCAGAACUCCGAAGUUAAGCGUGCUUGGGCGAGAGUAGUACUGGGAUGGGUGACCUCCUGGGAAGUCCUCGUGUUGCAUUCC